rnacentral:lncRNA from 1 species
CCUCUGAAUCCCUCUUCUCUCUUAACUCUCUCUGAAACUCCUACAAACCCUAGCCGCCGCCAUUAAGCUACACCCUAAUCCACCCUAACACCUACCUGAUCCAUGGCCUUCCGUGGUCAUUUGAGGCUUGUACCAUCCUUUCAUGGCUUCUAUAUGUUUGGUUCUAUGGUCUCACGACCAGACUUCGAAAGAGUUUGGUCCAGUCCUUGCUCGACUGGUAUUCAUGGCCUUUCUCCGACCAUCCACGACCUUUUCCGGCCAUUCAUGGCCUUUCGAGGCGGGUCCUUGACCUUUUCUGGUUAGAUCGUUAACUUUCGAGAUCAUUCUCGUUUUGUUUGGGUUUUUUAAAACCCUAAUCUCUAAGAUCUUUCGAUUUCUUUCAGAUCUACCUUAGAUCUGUGCUUACCAUGAAUUUUUAAGCGUUUUUCUCGAAGGUUCUUUAACUUUGCUUUCAAAAUGACUCUUUUCCGAUUAGGGUUUUUCUUUUAAGUUAUUUAAAAUAUCUUUUACCUGAUUUUAACGUAUUUCUGAUCUUGCUAUGUUUUGCUCAUACUGUUCUUCUAUCUGAAUUAGCAUGUUUAAGACCUUAAUUUCUUUUGGGCCUCAAUCGAGUUUUGAAGCUGUUUGUUAAAUGUGUACAUGUUUGUUUAAGUUCUUGCUUGACUCAUCUGUUCACCAUCUUUUGAACUCGUUUGUUGUUGAAAACGGUCUUUAGGGUCUGAAAGUGUUGUCUAAACACUCGACUCGAUUAAAAGUUCUUGUUUCAGACUCUCUUUUCUCUAUGUGACUUAUCUGAUUUUUACUAUCUUUCUAACUCAACUUUUAUCGAAAAUCCUAACCUCUCAAAGGGUUUCCUCACCAACUACUGUGAAACCUUUGCAUGUUUCUGAUAAUCUAUUUUCUUCCCUGUUGAUUCAAUGUGACUUGACCUACUUGAUUACUAUGCUUCGAAUGUUUGCUUUACUACUGAACCCUAGCUUAUUUUUGCCACUACUGCAUGUUUGUGAUUAUCUCUUUUGCUAAUAUGUUUGGCCUCGCAUGUCUGAUGACCCUGUUCACUUUAUUUAUAUGCUGAAGCCUCUUCUUUGAUUGAUCUUGGUCUUGUGACUGAUUUUUAAAGUUUCCCUUUUAUGAACCCUGAUUUCACUCGUCCGUUCAAAAUUGAUUGAUUCUUUUCCCUUUACUGUAACAUUUACCUUGUUGAAUCUAUUUCCAGAAUAAGCAUAUUUCUGUACUUAGACUCGAUUGCUUACUUAAUGUUUUUACUACUCCUUCUAUGGCAAUAAUCAGUCUGUCUCUAAACUGAUUUCUUUCCUUAUUUGAAUCUGUUAUUACCCGUUAAACAGUGACUUCUUAAUUAAAGGGAGUCACUCGUGUAAUUGAUUCCGACUGUUGAUUGUUUCUAUAUUUAUAUUAAAAAUUUACUUGUUAUCUUACUUCUCACUCGUUUUCAGAAGCUAUAAAUACCCUGCACUUUCUCUUCGUUCGAACAGAUACGAACCACUUGAAUUCAGAACACACACUUCACUCAAAGCUCUCUCUCUUUUCUCUGUUACUACUUGUGUUGCUGCCUUGUUUAGCCGGCUGAAAGCCAAGGCUAGGCUGUGGAAAUUUGCUUACUUUUCUUUCUGCAUUUGCCUCUUUACUGGUAUGUUUUAAUUAAUCUUCUAGCAUCAACAAUAACAUAUUUCUUUACUAUUUCCUUCACUCUUGCCUGUUUCCUGCUUGUGUUUAAUCAAGUUACAUUACCAAGCAUGUUGUAUCCUGCCCCUUCCUCCUUUGAAUUAAUGUAUUUUUUCUUAUGUAUGAGCUCUGUCAGUCACUUAUUAUGACUUAUGAAUCACAUCCCCCAUAUCCCUUAUGUGUUUGUAUUCUUUGGUUGGUUUGAGGGCAUGUCAGCAUUAGACAUUGCUGGGCAUGACCCAAACCUGACCCUCCCUGAGGUCAUAUGCUUCAUAUCCCCUCUAUGUGUUGUGUUCUCUAGCUGGUUUAUGGGCAUGCUAGCACCAGCUAUUGUUGUGCAUGUCCAAACCUGACCCCUCUUUGGGUCAUAUGCUUCUUGCAAUGUAUUCCCAAACCCCUGACCCCUUUGUAUAAAAAAAUGCUGAUUCUGUGUAGUGUUAGCUUUACUAUUACCGUUUUCAAAUUACCCUUUACCUUACUAUUCUCAACCCAGUUUUCAAACAAAAUUUCUGCUCCCUCACUUCCACUAUACUCUUAGACUUAGGUUCUACCCCUCUUGUGUGAGCCUUUCCUUGGGACCCACGAGCUCCCUCUAAACUUGGAUACAUAAGGGCUGGCCCUUCCACACUGCACUCAUCUCUAUCUGAUUAUGCAAACUUGGGUGUAAGCACUGCCCGGUGUAGACAUGUGAUUUUUGACCCUCCCCAAGAUUGUUCAUAUUUUAGCAUUUAAAUACUUAAUUUAGAUCUAAAAUAGUUAUUUCAACUAACUUUGACUCUUUACAUUAUUUUUAUCACAAAAUUAAAAAAUACAAAAAUAGUUCCAUAUUUCUCUAUUUAAUUCACGUAUUAGAUAUUUUUAGAAGGAUAUGUUACUUUGAACCUAUUUUAUUUUAAUAUAAUCUUUGAAAAUACCAAAAAAUAGUUUCAACUUUAAUUUUUAGUUCUAUUUUAAAUAUAAUAGUUUAUUAUAAUAAUCUCAACUUUAAUUUUAGUUUUAUUUGUAUCUUCUUAUAAAUAUUUAUAGAAGUAGAUUAAAUUUUUAGUCUUUUCCUAGCCCAAUUUUAUAGAAUUUUUAGUGGAAGUUGAAUUCUUGCAAGAAGAUAGCCCAAUUUUAGCAAGCCUAAAUCUUCCCAACCCAUGUAAUCCAUGACCCACGCCUAAAAACCCAUCCAAACCUAUCAGAUUUUUUGAACUAAAAACAAAACCCUAGGUGACUCUAUCUUCUUUUUAAUGAAGACAACAUGAAAGAACCCUAGCCACUCCUUCUUCUUCAACACACACAAGACAAGAACCUUAGAACCCUUGGACAGUUGCCGCCGGAGACCCCAUCGCCCCUCCACGAGCUGCUAGAAUAACAGCGUCGAACACAAUCUUGGAAUCCCUCUUCUUCUUUUUCACCCAAGCUCCAGACGCCCAACCUCUAUCAACCCAGAAUACACAGUCGCCAGCCACCCCACCCAUCUCCAUCUCCCAACCACAGUAGCAACAUACACACACAUAGGAAUAGGGAACAUAAAGAAGAGGGGAAAACGAAACAGUGACACGAUACAUUAUCUACAUAAUUUUAACUUUGAAUUACAUACAUCUACACACAUACUCAUUAUACACACAGAGAGAGAGGGACGUAUGAACGGACAGAAGGGAGAACGACAGAAAUUGAGGAAAUCCUUAGCAACGGAAGAAGGCAGCUCUGUCCCUGUCACUCUCUCGCAGCCCAUUUUUUUAUUCUUCCGUCAUCACCUCCGUUUUGGUUUACUCUUUGAGUUUCAGCGUACCUUCUAGUUCAAGUAGAGAUUGCGUCGAGUUCGUCGGAUUCCGGAUCUCAUCGAUUAUUUGGUUUUUCGGUGAGGAUUCAAUUCGUUGAUGUCGUUCGAGGUUAUUUCUGCGGUCCGCAGAUCAAUCUCCUACUGUUGUUGCAUUUUUAAAGUCGGAUUUCAAUCGUCGGGUUUGCUGUAAUUAAAUUCUCGUUAACGGAAAGAAAAUCUUGCUCAAAUGACUGCUCGAAAUGGGUCGUGUGGAUCAAACUAAGAAGAGACAAGCAUUGGUAACUACUGUUUGAGCAUGAAGCUAUUUUUCCUAAAAGAGACUUUCUAGUCAAAUUGUCAAGUAAGCCAGCAUCAUACUUUGAUCUAUUUUUUAUAUGUAUUUAUGCUAUUUCUCGUAUCUCUUUUCUUUGUUUGUUGAUCAGAGGCAUCAUCUUUUAUUUGGAUUUAUCAAAUGUCUUUGUUGUUUUUAUUUAUUUCUUAUCGCUAGUAGUAUGUUUAGGUCGUUAAUGUUCGGGUAGGCGAAUAUUAUUAGGAUUUUUCUUUUCUUUUCUUUUCUUUUAUAUGAGGUGAGAGGCCGCCCCUUUUAGUUAAAUUUGUCCGGGGAAUGCCCCGAAGGAUUUGUAAAUAUUCUAUUUCGGGGAAUGCCUCGAAGAACUUUGUAAAUAUUUUAGAGGUCGUGACGAGCAUUGAGGAGGCGCAUAUAGGUUUGUAGUAUUUUAUUUUUGUCAUUUUAUUUUAUUAGGUGGGGAUGAACUCGUGCCUCGUGCAUUUAUUUUUCUUUUAUGUGUUUAUUUUUACCUCAAUUUGAAUAUCUUAAAAGCCAACUAGAUCGAGUACGCAACUGUGACCUUCACGAGACUCGGGGAAUGCCUAACACCUUCUCCCCGAGUCAAAUGAACCCCCUUACCCAAAUCUCUGGUGCAGACUUAGUUUUGGAGUCCAAAGUAUUUUAAAAGGAAAAAUUAUUUUUUUUAAAAAAAACGGUGACCUGACACACCGAAAUCAAAUGUCAGGUGACGACUCUGAGUUAAUUCUUUUAAACAUAAAUUUUUGUCACUUUCUAAUUGAAAACUCUUUUGAGCUUUACAAAAUCCUUUUAUUAAUUUAAGAGGGUUUAGUGGAGUUUUGUAAAAAAAAGGGGUGUGACACUCGGGGUCCCUUGAGACCCUUAGGGAACUGUGACACACUCAAGUCUGAGAAAGGCUUUGGAACAAAUGGCAUUUGAGGUGGUUUAUUCCAUAACUUAGAGAGGAAGGCAAGAAUUAGGCUUCCUCUGGUUGUAACUUCUUCUUUUACACUUUUCUGAUGUAAUUCAUUAUUCUGUUUGUAAUAAUAUGUAAUGAACAUUGGGGUUGGCUAGUGAAAAGGGCUAGGUAAUUGUGCAUGCGUAACUAUUAGAAGGGUAGAGAACAUGUCUAUAGGAAUUAUUUUUUGCAUGUUUAAUUCAGCAUUUAGAGAAUAUGCCUAUAAGAUCUAUUGUUUUAAAUUCUGCAUGCUUAACUUUGCAUUUAGAGAACCUGUCUAUAGGGCUUGUUUAAAUUCAGCAUGUCUAAUUCUGCGUUUAGAUAAUAUGCCUAUAGGAUUCAUUUUAAAUUCUGCAUAUUUAUUACCAUACUUAGAUACCAUGCUCUUAGGAUCUAAUUGGUUAUAAUCUGGCAUCAUGUCCAAUAGGUUAAAAUCAGUAUCGUUUAAUCCGAUAUCAUACCUAUAGGAAUUAAAAAUAGCAAUAAUGGAUAUCAAUAUCUAUAGAAUAUGAAACCAGUCUAGUUUAAAAUCAGCCUAACUCGUAUUAUUCUGAAUUAAUUUUAAACAGCCUUACUCCUUUAUUUAACGCGGUUUAGAAAGCAUGUCUAUAGGAUCUCAAGUCGUUUGUUUUAGAGUUGUUACUGCUUUGCCACAUCCUGAAUCAGUAAUAGAUAUCAUGUUUAUAGGAUCUCAUCCAAAUACUUAGGUAAGCCUUAGGUGCUAAUGACAAUAAAAACUGAACCUACUUUUGUUAAUCAGUAAUUGCUACAACCAGUAGGCAAACCUGAUUCAGACUUCUUAUCUGAGUUAUGUAAUAAACCAGUCUGCCUCAAAAAUUAAAAUUCUCCUUGCCUUAGUACCUUAAAUUCAGACCCUAACUGUGUUUAAGUAAUGCUAUUUAUGUGCUUUGUUUGAGGAGGUAUACAUGAGCCUCUUAGUUGUUUACAUGUUUCCCAUAAUAUGAAGUCCUAUGUGUUUUUGUAUGUCGCCUUAGCUUUUUUCACCUUUUGAAACCUAAAAGUCAGCCUAAUAUCCCUCCCCUUUAAGAAUAGUAGUCCUAAGUUCCUCCGGACUGAUAGGGGUGGGACGAGUAAUAGCAUGCAAUAGUGGUCGAGACCAAUCUGCGCUUUAAUACCUCGACGGGGUGGGAAGGGUAGAUAUGGAUAUGAUGACCGGUGCGCUAAUACCACGUGUAUCCCCUCUUAUGAGGAGUGUCAUAUCGAGUAUCGCAUUGAUGUGAUCCAUAUUAUAAAUAAACCUAGGACCCCCUCCCCUUUUCCUUUCCUUUUAUAUUCCUAAGUAUCUGUAAAAAUGUGACUCCUUUUUUCAAAGUUCGCCUUUAAUUGUUCUUUCAAACUCUUAUGUGUUUAAACCUAAAUCCCCUACUAUUUGAGCAUAUACUUGUCUAUUUGCUAACUGUACAAAUUUACAGAACUAUCUGGCCGGGAACCACACUAGUGGAUCUUGAGGGGUGCCUAACACCUUCCCCUUAGGAUAAUUUUAAGCCCUUACCUUAUCUCAGGUUAUCAAGAAAACUUAGAAAUGAACCCUAUAGGUGUCCUAAUGCACCUUAAAUCAUUAGGUGGCGACUCUUCAAAUGCAAAACUCAGUUCCCAAAAGGAAUGAGUUGUCUUAUACCCAAUAUCAUAAACCCAAUUUUCUGAUGCAAAGAGGGAAAAAGGGGGCGCGACAGUAGUAUUCAUAAACCGUUCGUGAGUUGUAACACCAGUUCUGGGUGGAGUUUUGUUACGGUUUUGUUAUUAAUAUUAAGAUAAUCUGUUGAAUUCUGUUCUUCCGCAUUUAUUCCAUUGAUUUACUUUUGUUAACUUGUAAACUGUUAAAAGAUAAAAGAAAAGGGUGAAAUAAUUUGUAACGUUGGCUUGCCUAGCAAGUAUAAUGUUAGGCGCCAUCACGGUCCUGACUGUGGGAAAUUCGGGUCGUGAUAAGUUGGUAUCAGAGCUCUAGGUUGCUUAGGUAUCACAAUUUACGGUCAGGCUUAGUAGAGUCUGAAGGAUCGGUACAAAGACGUUUGUGCUUAUCCCCAAGAGGCUAUAGAGUUUAGGAAUAACUUCACAUCCAUUCUUCUUUAUCGUGCGAUUUGACUUCUCAAUGCUAAUUGAACUUCUACUCUAUUUUUUCGCAGAUGGCGAGAACACAUACUACUUCAUCAGCUGAUCAGCAACCCGAGCCCUCAACGGUAGCUCCUACGAGGGGCAGAGAACGAGGCCGAGGCCGUGCUAGAGGCAGGGGCAGGGCUCAACCCAGAUUAGCAGCACCAGUGGUGGAGCCUCAGGUACAGUUUGAUGAUGAGGUUCUAACCCGGACCGUUCCUGCGGGCCCAACUUAGGUUCUAGAGGGGUUCAUCGCUACCUCGGUACUCCAGGAUGAUUUGGUCUAUCUAGUGGGCCUUAUGGAGAGUGUCACUUAGGCAGGCAUACUUCCUGUAUCACCAGCCGUCUCUCAGGCUGGGGGAGGAACACAAACUCCCGCUACUUGCACUCCAGAGCAGAUGGAUCCCCAGUUUCAGACUCCAGUAGCUUAGCCAGUUGGAGUAGUUCUACCGGGUGUUGUAGCUCACACAUGUGAUGGAUCAGCUAUGCCAUCAAAUGCCUUGUGGAUAUUGGGCAGGUUCACGAAGCUUUUCACGACUACUUAUGGCGGUACAUCUUUAGAGGAUUCCCAGGACUAUUUGGACAGCUGCCAUGAGGUCCUUCAGAACAUGGGGAUAGUGGAGACCAAUGGGGCCGACUUUACUGCUUUUCGUCUAUCAGGUUUCGCCAAGAAAUGGUGGAGGAAUUAUUGUUUGGCCAGACCAGAUGGGUCACCAACUCUCACUUGGGACCAGUUUUCGCGGCUAUUUCUCGAGAAAUUCCUUCCCGUCAUUUAGAGAGAGGAGUAUUGUAGGCGGUUUGAGCGUUUUCAACAGGGUUCUAUGACUGUCACCCAGUACGAGAUGAGGUUUAUUGAUUUGGCCCGUCAUGCUCUUCUUACACUCCCCACCGAAAGAGAGAGGGUGAGGAGGUUUAUUAAGGGACUCGCUCAACCUAUUAGAUUGCAGAUGGCUAAGGAGACAGGGAGCGAGAUUUCUUUUCAGGAUGCGGCCAAUGUGGCCAGGCAAGUUGAGAUGGUUUUAUCCCAGGUGAGUGGUCAGGGGUCUGACAAGAGGCCUUGUCAUUCUGGCAGAUUCAGUGGUGCCUCGCUUGGAGGCAGGGAUUCUUUUGGUAGAGGCCAUCCUCCCAGGCCAUUUCAUUUAGCACUUCAGGCUUAUCACGGUGCUCCAGGUGGCUGUGGUUCUCAUAUGUAGUAUUCUGAUCAGCUACCCUACAGUGCACUACCAGCUCUUAUCAGUUCACCUCUGCUACAGAGUUUUCAGGGUGGUUACUCAAGCCGACAGGGUUAGUUUCAAGGUCAGCAAUCUCAGCAGUCGAAGCCUUGUGAUACUUGUGGCAAUACAAGGCAUAUUGCUAGAUUUUACCCUCGAGCCUUGAGCAGUUCUUAGCAUCAGGGUUCUCGUGCCAUAGUUCCAGCACCGGGUGUUCCACCGCCCGAUCAUCCAUCUAGAGGUGGGGGUCAGGCAUCUAGAGGUGGAGGUCAGACCACUAGAGGUGGAGGCCAGCCAGCAGGAGGUUGUCCCAAGGAUGUAGUUUAGAGUGGUGGGGCACAUCCCCGAUGUUAUGCUUUCCUAUCCAGACUUGAGGGUGAGUCCUCCGAUACAGUUAUCAUAGGUACGGUUUUAGUUUGUAGUAGAGAUGUUUCAGUUCUAUUUGAUCUAGGGUCUACAUACUUCCAUGUGUCAUCUUAUUUUGCUGCGUAUUUGGUUGUGCCUCGUGAUUCUUUGAGUGCUCAUGUAUACGUGUCUACACCGGUGGGUGAUUCUAUUAUUGUAGAUCAUAUCUAUCGUUCGUGUGUGGUUGUCAUUGGGGGUCUUGAGACCCGUGUAGAUCUCAUACUUCUCGAUAUGGUGGAUUUUGAUAUCAUUUUAGGGAUGGAUUGGUUGUCACCUUAUCAUGCCAUAUUGGAUUAUCACGGCAAGACCGUGACCUUAGCAUUUCCGGGGUUGCCUCGAUUGGAGUGGAGAGGGACUCCUAGUCAUUCUACCAGUAAGGUUAUCUCUUAUAUGAAGGCUCGGCGUAUGGUCGAUAAGGGGUGUUUGGCUUGUUUGGCGUAUGUUCAUGAUUCUAGUGCUGAGGUUUCUUCUAUGGAUUCUAUGCCAGUUGUUCGUGAGUUUCCUGAGUUAUUUCUUACAGACCUGUCGGGGAUGCCACCCGACAGGGAUAUUGACUUUUGCAUUGAUUUGGCUCCGGGCACCCAACCCAUUUCUAUCCCGUAGUAUCAUAUGGCCUCGCCAGAGCUGAAAGAAUUGAAAGAACAGUUGCAAGACUGCUUGAUAAGGGCUUUAUUAGACCUAGUGUCUUGUCCUAGGGUGCGCCAGUGCUAUUUAUUAAGAAGAAGGAUGGAUCGAUGAGGAUGUGUAUAGAUUAUCGGUAGCUGAACAAGGUCACCAUCAAGAACAAGUAUCCAUUACCGAGGAUUGAUGAUUUAUUUGAUCAGCUUUAGGGUUCCAAGAUGUUUUCAAAGAUUUAUCUGAGGUCUGGCUACCACCAGUUGAGGAUUAGGGCAUCCUAUGUCCCUAAGAUAGCUUUUCGCACUCGGUAUAGGCAUUAUGAGUUUCUAGUGACGUCAUUUGGGUUGACAAAUGCCCCAACAACAUUUAUGGAUUUGAUGAACCGGGUUUUCAAGCCUUAUCUGGAUUACUUUGUGAUUGUUUUCAUUAAUAAUAUUUCGAUCUACUCCCGUAGUUGGGAGGAGCAUGAGCAGCAUCUUCGAGUCGUCCUUCAAACUCUAAGAGACAGCCAGUUGUAUGCUAAGUUUUCGAAAUGUGAGUUUUGGUUGAGUUCAGUAGCAUUCCUGGGUCACGUCGUAUCAGUAGAGGGUAUUCAGGUGGAUCCUAAGAAGAUUGAGGCAGUCAAGGACUGGCCUAGACCCACAUCAGCUAUAGAGAUCCGGAGUUUCUUGGGUUUGGCGGGUUAUUACCGUCAGUUUAUGGAGGGGUUUUCAUCUAUAGCAGCCUCGAUGACUAGGUCAACCCAGAAGGGUGCCCAGUUCAGGUGGUCGAACGAGUGUGAGGCGAGCUUUCAGAAGCUCAAGACAGCUUUGACAACGGCGCCGGUGUUGGUAUUGCCCACAAGUUCAGGGCCAUAUACGAUAUAUUGUGAUGCAUCUCGUAUUGGACUUGGUGCAGUGUUGAUGCAGAAUGGCAAGGUUAUUGCAUAUGUUUUGCGACAGUUGAAGAUCCAUGAGAAGAAUUAUCUAGUUCAUGACUUGGAGCUUGCAGCCAUUGUUCACGCGUUGAAGAUUUGGAGGAACUAUUUAUAUGGCGUAUCAUGUGAGGUGUUCACGGACCACAAGAGUUUGCAAUACUUGUUCAAACAAAAGGAGCUAAAUUUAAGGCAGAGGAGGUGGUUGGAGCUAUUGAAAGACUAUGAUAUCACCAUCUUGUAUCAUCUUGGGAAGGCCAAUGUAGUGGCUAAUGCUUUGAGUAGGAAGUCAGCCAGUAUGGGCAGCCUUGCAUAUAUUCCAGUCGGUGAGAGACCGCUUGCUUUGGAUGUUCAGGCCUUAGUCAAUUAGUUCAUAAUGUUGGAUGUUUCUAAGCCCAGCCGUGUUCUAGCUUUUAGAGUCGCUCGUUCUUCAUUAUUUAAGCGUAUCAGAGAUCGGUAGUAUGAUGAUCCUCAUUUUCUUGUCCUUAGAGACGCAGUGCGGCACGGAGGUACCAAGCAGGUUACAUAUGGAAAUGACGGAGUUUUAAGGAUGCAGGGUCGAGUUUGUGUGCCUAAUAUGGAUGGACUUUGUGAAUUGAUUCUAGAGGAGGCCCAUAGUUCCCGAUAUUCUAUUCAUCCGGGCGUCGGCAAGAUAUAUCAGGAUUUGUGGCAGCAUUACUCAUGGAGAAGGAUAAAGAAGGAUAUUAUUGCGUAUGUAGCUCAGUGUUUGAAUUGACAGCAGGUAAAGUACGAGCUUCAAAGACCUAGUGGUUUACUUCAGAAGAUUGAGAUUCCUGAGUGAAAGUGGGAGCGUAUCAUUAUGGACUUCGUUGUUGGACUCUCACGGACUCAAAGGAAGUUCGAUGCAGUAUAGGUUAUUAUGGAUAGGCUGACCAAGUCAGCGCAUUUCAUUCCUGUGGCAGUUUCCUAUUCUUCUGAGCGGUUUGCAGAGAUUUACAUUUGUGAGAUUGUUCAUCUUCAUGGUGAGCCUGUGUCUAUCAUUUUUUAUCAAGGUAUGCAGUUUACCUUGCACUUCUUGAGGGCAGUACAUCAUGAGUUGGGUACGCGAGUCCAGUUGAGCACAGCAUUUCAUCCUCAGACGGACGAGCAGUCCGAGCGUACUAUUCAGAUUUUGGAGGAUAUGCUCCGAGCGUGUGUUAUUGACUUUGGAGGUUCGUGGGAUCUGUUCUUGCAGUUAGCGUAGUUUGCCUACAAUAACAGUUAUCAGUCGAGCAUCCAAAUGGCUCCCUAUGAGGCAUAUAUGGUAGACGGUAUCGGUCGCCGGUUGGAUGGUUUGACCCGGGAGAGGCUCGGUGGUUGGGUAUAUAUUUAGCACAGGAUGCCUUGGAUAAGGUUAAGAUUAUUCAGGAUAGGCUUCAUACAUCUCAGUCCAGCCAAAAGAGUUAUGCCGACCAUAAGGUUCGUGAUAUAGCAUUCAUGGCCGGAGAGCGAGUGUUGCUUCGGGUGUCGCCCAUGAAGGGCGUGAUGAAAUUUGGGAAGAAGGGCAAGCUAAGCCCUAGGUUCAUCAGGCCUUUUGAGAUCCUUGAUAGAGAGCUAGAGGUGUCUUACAGACUUGCAUUGCCGCCAGGUUUAUCAGCUGUGCAUCCAAUGUUUCAUAUGUCGAUGCUUCGGAAGUAUCACGGCGAUCCAUCCCACGUGUUAGACUUCAGCACUGUCCAGUUGGACAAGGACUUGACCUACGAGGAGGAGCCAGAGGAUAUUCUAGACCGGUAGGUUCGACAGUUGAGAUCGAAGAUUUUUCCGUCAGUUCGUAUGUAGUAGAGAGGUCAUCCUGUUAAGGCAGCUACUUAGGAGUCCGAGUCCGAUAUGCGGAGCCAAUAUCCUCAUCUUUUCAUUGACUCAGAUACUUUUCUAUGUCCUUUCGAGGACGAACGGUUAUUUUAGAGGUAGAGAAUGUGAUGACCCAAGGGGUCAUCUUGUGUUUUAGAAUCCGAAUCCAGAUUCCAAGGCCUUGAAAACCUCAUUUUUUUCCUCCUUGAUUUGCGUGCACUAUCCAGGUAUGUUUUCUGAAAGCUUUCAUGUGAAAUUUAAGAAAAAUAUGAAAAUUUACCUUUAAAAUUAAUUAAAGUUGACUUUGGUCAAUGUUUUGGGUAAACGAACUUGGACCCGUGCUCUGACGAUCCCGAAAAGGUCCGUAGUAUAAUAUGGGACUUAGGCGUAUGCCCGGGAUCGAAUUCCGAGGUCCCUAGCCCGAGAAAUGAAUUUUUGAAGAAAAGUAUUUGCUGGAAAAUAUAAAGAAUCUUAGAAAUUGAAUAAUGUUUGAACUUGAUGAUAUCGGGUCCGUAUUUUAGUUCUGGUGCCCGGUACAGGUCCGUUAUAAUAUUUAAACCAUAUCUGUAAAAUUUGGUGUGAAGCAGAAGUAAUUUGACAUGAUUCGAACCUUUGGUUGAAAAAAUAGGAAGUUUGAACUAUCUUGAAAAUUUCAUUAGUUUUGGUGUUAAAUUCGUUGUUUAAGAUAUUAUUUUGGCAAUUUCAUCGUACGAACAAGUCCGUAUGAUUUUUUAGACUUGUGUGCAUAUUUGGUUUGGAGCCCCGAGGGCUCGAGUGAGUUUUGGAUAGGCUAAAAAUUGUUUUGGACUUGGAAAAAAAAUUGCAGGUGCUACAGUUCUGGUGUUGGCCUCUGAUCUCGCAAUUGCGAGGAAAACUGUUAUGGCAAUUGCGAGGCCUUUAUCGCAAAUGCGAAGAAGGCCUGGGCCGGCUUAGUUCGCAAAUGCAAACAUUACUUUGCAAUUGCGAAGAGAGUCUGGGAAGGAGGGGUUGAUCGCAUUUGCGAUCUUUUUGUCGCAAUUGCGGAGGUUGGCGUUCGCAAUUGCAAACAUUCCUUCGCAAUUACGAAGGCAGCAGUGGUUUGAUGGUUCUCGCAUUUGCGAGCUUUGCAAUUGUGAAGCUCAGGUCGCAAUUGCGACAUUUGCGCUUGUUAAGUUGGGGCUUAGACGAGAUUUUGAACUCAUUUCUCAAAAUUUCACACCCUAAACCUCCCUAGGCAAUUUUCAAAGACCCAAACUUCUCCAAAUCAUAGGUAAACGAUUUCUAACUCAUUUUCUUCAAUAUAUUUCAUCUUUUUACAUGAUUUCAUCUCAAAAUCUAGGGUUUUUCAUAGGAAAUUGGGUGUUUUGGGGUAGAAAUUAGGAAUUUCAAAAUUUGGGGAUUUGGACCUCAAAUUGAGGUCGGAUUUCAAAACCAAUUGCAUAUUUGGGUUCGUGGGUGAAUGGGUAAUCGGGUUUUGAACCAAACUUUUAGUUUUGACCAAGCGAGCCCGGGUUCGGUUUUUGAUUCUUGGGGAAAAUAUUGGGAAAUCUAUACUCAUUCAUUAGAAUUGGUUUAUUUAGCGUUAAUUGAUGUUAAUUAGUUAAUUAUGCAUAGAUUCGGGCGGUUUGGAAGUGGAAAUCAAAGGAAAAGUGGUAGUUGAGUCUUGAUUUUUAGCCGUGGAAUCGAGGUAAGUGUUUGGUCUAACCUUAGAUCGAGGGAAUAGGUGUUGUUGUCUUACUUGCUACUUGUAUAAUUGUUGAGUACGAUGUAUAGGUGUGGGGACGAGUAUCUAUACGUUGUUGUUUGGUGAUAGUAUGCAAAUGAGCCUUAUAUUUCUAACCAUUGUGCCUUUAUUACGUAUUGUUCAUGCUUAAGCUGGUUACUCUUCAUGUUGAACAAGUUUGGUUAUAUUUUCUUGUUAUUGGGUAAUUGUUGAUUGUUGACUCAAGUUGAGACUUACAUUGUGAAUUUAACUGUUGAAACGAGAUUGAUUAUAGCUGAUUCCUUUGCCGGGAUGUUAUUGUUUCUAUUGUUUGGGUGAAGAAAGAAUGAUAAAGCACGAAGGGUAAUGCCGUGCACAUUCAUACUUAUGCAUAUGGUGAGGAAGUGUGAUAAAGAACGAAGGGUGAUGCCGUGCACUUUUAUAUUUAUAUUGAUGCAUAUGGUGAGGAAGAUAGAUAAAGCACGAAGAGUGAUGCCGUGCACAAUUCUAUUAUUCAUAUGGUUAUGAAGAGUGAUAAAGCACGAAGGGUGAUGCCGUGCACAUUUCUAUUAUUGACUGUAUGGUGAGGAUUGAGAGUAAAAGCACGAAGGGUGAUGCCGUGCAUUUUCUGUUUGUUGUGAUUAAUUGUUGUUAUCGGUUCAAGUGUAUUAAUUGUUUAAUUUCUGUUACUACUGUGAUUCCUUAUUCCGGUAACCCUAUUGCAUGUUUCCCCUUCCUGUUAAUUUCUAUUUAGCUUCUAUUAUUGUUAUUCUGUUGGUAUAUCGUUUAUCUGCACAUGUUUAUGUUGGUUGUCGUGUCCUAGCCUCGUCACUACUUCGCUGAGGUUAGGCUCGACACUUACCACUACAUGGGGUUGGUUGUACUGAUACUGCACUCUGCACUUUCUGUGCAGAUCACGGUGUCGGACCUUGUGAGUAGAGUCGGGUGGCUGCCUUCAGUCCAUUGGAGACCCAAGGUAGUCCUGCAGGCGUCUGCAGGCCCUGGC